CGAGCCGGGCGGACGGCCGCGUGGAGCCCCAGGGGCUUCCCGAGGAACGUCCGGGCUCCACAGGGCAGGGUGGUGGCUAACGGCCACCCGGGGUGACCCGCGGGACAGUGCCACAGAAAACAGACCGCCGGGGACCUCGGUCCCCGGUAAGGGUGAAACGGUGGUGUAAGAGACCACCAGCGUCCAGGGUGACCUGGACGGCUUGGUAAACCCCACCUGGAGCAAGGUCAAGAGGGGCCGCGGUUCGCCGCGACCCCGCGCGGACGACCGAGGGCUGCCCGCCCGAGUCCGCGGGUAGACCGCACGAGGCUGCCGGCAACGGCAGCCCUAGAUGGAUGGCCGUCUCCCGGCCGGCCGCGAGGCCGCCCGGUGACAGAACCCGGCGUACAGCCCGACUCGUCUG
rnacentral:RNase_P_RNA from 1 species